GACGAACGCUGGCGGCGUGCUUAACACAUGCAAGUCGAACGGAAAGGCCCUGCUUUUGUGGGGUGCUCGAGUGGCGAACGGGUGAGUAACACGUGAGUAACCUGCCCUUGACUUUGGGAUAACUUCAGGAAACUGGGGCCAAUACCGGAUAGGAUCUCCUGCUGCAUGGUGGGGGUUGGAAAGUUUCGGCGGUGGGGGAUGGACUCGCGGCUUAUCAGCUUGUGGGUGGGGUAGUGGCUUACCAAGGCUUUGACGGGUAGCCGGCCUGAGAGGGUGACCGGCCACAUUGGGACUGAGAUACGGCCCAGAGUCCUACGGGAGGCAGAGGUGGGGAAUAUUGCACAAUGGGCGGAAGCCUGAUGCAGCAACGCCGCGUGCGGGAUGACGGCCUUCGGGUUGUAAACCGCUUUCGCCUGUGACGAAGCGUGAGUGACGGUACCGGGUAAAGAAGCACCGGCUAACUACGUG
rnacentral:rRNA from 1 species